UGGGGAAUAUUGCACAAUGGAGGAAACUCUGAUGCAGCGACGCCGCGUGAGUGAAGAAGGUCUUCGGAUCGUAAAACUCUGUCCUUGGCGACGAAAAAAAUGACGGUAGCCAAGGAGGAAGCCCCGGCUAACUACGUGCCAGCAGCCGCGGUAAUACGUAGGCAGCAAGCGUUGUUCGGAGUUACUGGGCGUAAAGAGUGCGUAGGCGGUUUUCUAAGUUCGGUGUGAAAUCUCCCGGCUUAACUGGGAGGGUGCGCCGAAGACUGGGAAGCUGGAGUGUGGGAAAGGCAGGCGGAAUUCCUGGUGUAGCGGUGAAAUGCGUAGAUAUCAGGAGGAACACCGGCGGUGUAGACGGCUUGCUAGACCAUAACUGACGCUGAGGCACGAAAGCGUGGGUAGCAAACA
rnacentral:rRNA from 1 species